rnacentral:rRNA from 1 species
GACGAACGCUGGCGGCGUGCUUAACACAUGCAAGUCGAACGGAAAGGCCCUGCUUUUGUUGGGUGCUCGAUUGGCGAACGGGUGAGUAACACGUGAGUAACCUGCCCUUGACUUUGGGAUAACUUCAGGAAACUGGGGCGAAUACCGGAUAGGAGCUCCUGCUGCAUGGUGGGGGUUGGAAAGUUUCGGCGGUUGGGGCUGGACUCGCGGCUUAUCAGCUUGUUGGGGGGGUAGUUGCUUACCAAGGGUUUGACGGGUAGCCUGCCUGAGAGGGUAACCGGGGACAAUAGGACUGAGAGAGGGACCAGUAUGCUACCGGCGGCAACAGGGGAGAACAUUGCGCAACGGGGGGGAGCCUGAGGUGAAAAUCCCCGGAGCGGGAAGCCCGGCUUCGGGGGGUAAACCGAUUUCGAAUGAAACGAAGCGGGCGUGACGGUAAUGGGUAAAGAAGCACCGGCUAACUACGUG